UACAGAGGUCUCAAGCGUUGUUCGGAUUCAUUGGGCGUAAAGGGUGCGUAGGCGGCGCGGUAAGUCGGGGUGUGAAAUCUCGGAGCUUAACUCCGAAACUGCAUUCGAUACUGCCGUGCUUGAGGACUGGAGAGGAGACUGGAAUUUACGGUGUAGCGGUGAAAUGCGUAGAUAUCGGAAGGAACACCAGUGGCGAAAGCGGCUUCCUGGUCCAGCACCGACGUUCAGGCACGAAAGCGUGGGGAGCAAACAGG
rnacentral:rRNA from 1 species